rnacentral:rRNA from 1 species
AGAAUGAACGCUGGCGGCGUGCCUAACACAUGCAAGUCGUGCGCGAAAGGGACUUCGGUCCCCGGUAGAGCGGCGAACGGGUGAGUAACACGUGGGUAACCUGUCUGAGAGUGGGGGAUAACCUGGGGAAACUCGGGCUAAUACCGCAUACGUCCACUGGGCUUUGGCUCGGUGAGGAAAGGUGCCUCUGCUUGCAAGCCACCACUCCCAGAGGGCCCGCGUCUGAUUAGCUAGUUGGCGGGUAACGGCCCACCAAGGCGACGAUCAGUAGCCGGCCUGAGAGGGCAGUCGGACGACGACUGGAACUGAGACACGGUCCAGACUCCGUACGGGAGCAGCAGUGAGGAAUCUUGCGCAAGUGGGGGAAACCCUGACGGCAGCAACGCCGCGCGGAGGAGUGAAGGCCUUCGGGUCGUAAACUCCUGU